rnacentral:rRNA from 1 species
UGCCAGCCGCCGCGGUAAUACGGAGGGAGCAAACGUUGUUCGGAUUUACUGGGUGUAAAGGGUGCGUAGGCGGCCAUGUCCGUCGGGGGUGAAAUCCUGCAGCUCAACUGCAGCACUGCCUCCGAAACUGCAUGGCUUGAGUCCGUGAGGGGAAGGUGGAAUUCCAGGUGUAACGGUGAAAUGCGCAGAUAUCUGGAAGAACACCCGUGGCGAAGGCGACCUUCUGGCACGGUACUGACGCUGAGGCACGAAAGCUAGGGUAUCGAACGGGAUUAGAUA